CUUCGAUGCAUUUAUCCCCCGCUUCCUUAUGUCUAGUAUUUAGACAAAUUUUACUUUCUUUCUAUUUAAAAAACAAAACUAUUGAUACGUCUUAUGUCUUAUGACAGUGAAAUCUAUCAAUAGUAACAUAGUCCUACUACUCAAAUAAAAAUAACUAAAUCAAAAUAAUGACGUCCGAGAGGAAUAAUAUCAACCACUUGACGUCCCUCCGACGCAUCCGUUAUGGUUAUCUCAUAUCCCCCUUUUUCUUUUCAUAUGAUUUUGCUUACUAUACCUGUUACUGUAGCAUUAUAAAAUAUAUUGUUACUCUUACUGCCGUUGGGAUAAAUCUGACCUUUUCCCCUGUUACCGCCUACGUAUAUAGGAUAUUUUAAGAAAUGAACAUCCUUCGUAGUAGCAGGGUCCGGGGAAAGAAUAGGCAAGGUUAUUUCACUAUAUUUUUUACGAGGGACAGGGCCUACCACAAGAAUAUUUUUUUAUUGGGGCGAUAGCUCUGAAAAGACAAAUUGCCAAUCUUUUCUUUCAUCUUGGGAGAAAUAUGAUCGAGAGGAGCUAAUUCAAACCCCUCCGGUAAAAUAAGAACAGCCCCCAUGUUCAACCCCCCCUUUUUACCAUUACCAAGAACCUGUUUUAGUUGCAUAUCAUAAGGAAUUCGAACAACUUCUUCAAAUACAGUAUCAGGAAUUACCGCUUGUGGAACCUCAAUCUCCAUGGGCUUAUUACCUAAAUGGCAAUUGGCACAUACAAUACGCCCAGUCGCUUCUCGUGGAUUUUCAUAACCCUGCUGUGCAAAAAUGGGAUAUGCACUUGAAAUGGAUGUCCGAGUUAAGAUAUAUAUCAUGAGCGAUACGGAAAUAGAUCGAGUAAUCUGUUUCUUUAGCCAAGAAAAAGCAUUUCUAGUUUGCAUGGUCCAAUCAUUGAUCGCGAAAAUUUCUACAAUAAAUUGGGUAGGUCGCUAGUAUAGUUCCCUAUCCACGAUUCUACUAUUUACUGGAAUAAUCUAGAAAUAAUAUAGGAUGAAUCUUCCUGAUGGUUAGAAAUAGAAAGAUAAAAUACGAUUUUCAAUACUUUUCUUAUGUUCAACUACAAAGUACCAAGCAUUCGAAUUGGAUUAGAUUAGUAUCAAUGGAUCCUUUAUUAGUCAUUCAUUGAAUGAUAAAUAACUACAAGUGACGGAGAUAGGAGAUUUAAAUAACGGAAAAUCCAAUAUUUAAAAAUUGUAUCAAGAAUGACUGGGAAGGAAGAAACAAGACCAGAUAUAAUUUGAUCAUUAUGAACAAACCCAAAAUCUUUAUAGAUAGAGCCAAUAAUUAAUUCCCAACCGCGGGGUGAAUGGAAUCCGAUACAUAAAUCAGUUAAUAAAAGAAUAGAAAAAGCUUUUACUGUGUCACUUACGUUAUAUAGGAAUUCCUGAGCCCAAGAGUUAAGAAUAAUUAAGAAUAAUAAGUUUUUCAGUACCCAAAAUUGAAUACCCACUUAGAAUAAUAAAACAGAUGAUAUUUGUUGAGAAGUGAAAAAUCAUAUGGAUACAAUUCCCAUUUUGCGUCUUGAUUAAUUGGAUCGUUUCUUUAUGGAUUCCAAUCCCAAACUCUUCGAGAUGUGUUUCUGAGUAUUCCUUGAUCAUUUCGUCUAAGAAGAGGUGUUCCUCUAAUUCUAUGAAUUUUUCUAGAAGACUCUUUUCUUAAAUAGUAUUCAAGAAAAUUUUGGAUUGCCCAGUAUUCCACCAAUUAGUAACCCAAGAUUCCAGACAUUUAUUAACUGAGAAAGAAAUCCACCAGGGAAAAAAUACUAUAUAUGCAAGAUAGAAAAGAGGGGUGAAUGCUUUCUUUUUUGCCAUUUUUUCAUCUGUGAAUUGUUAAUCAACCCAUCCGUACACUCUAUGCGAUCGAAUAUUUCUUACACACAUGAGUUUUAUACAAGGUAUCGAACUUAUGAAUCUAUUUUCUUUGUGAUUUUGUGGUUAGUAUUUGAAUCUAGAAAGAAUAUAGAAAUAGGCUAAGAAUUCACUUCGAAUGAAGAAAUUGAGAAUAUUGUUUCCUGAUAUCUCAAUUGGUCAAAUUCAAAAUCAAGUGUCUCCUUUCGAUGAAUGAUCGAAAGAACCACUUUAAGUAAUGAAUAUUGUUCAGAUUUUGAGAAGAAAGAACUCCCUUGCUAUCAAAAUAUCCAAUAUUUCGAAAAAAUUUCACUAAUUACCCAUAGUCAGGAAUAGAAUAAUUGAGGGAAAGAUAUUACGAUGAUAAAAAAAAAUGACUGGCAAAAGAUAAAUUGGCUAGUUCUCAUUAUUUAAUUAAGAAAUCCAAUUGUUGGUCAUUAAAGAAUACAAAAGAAAGAAUUUCCAAUUUACAAGAUAUGAUCUAUCUGGAUCUAAAGUGUCAAUUCCAACAAAUAUUGAACUAAAAAAAAUUUCUUGAUUUCGAAAUGGUUUGCCAUCUGAGAUGAAUCUAUUAUUUCGAUUUGUUAUUUGUUAUUGAAUUGCGUGGGUUUACAUACGCAUAAAGACCAUAAAAAGAGUUUCGUUUUAUGGUUCUUUCAUAUACGUUUUCUUUAAUUGAAUGAACGUUCUGAUUCUCAAUUUCUCAAAAUACUUCAAUUGGUACACGCAAGAAAUAGGCUAAUUCAGCAGCCUUUUGUUCAAUUUCUCGUGGAGUCAAAUUCUCAUCAGUACGGGUUAAGGGAAUGGACCCCUGGCCUCGGAUGUCCAUAUAAAGAACACGACGAGCAUAAAUACCCUCUUUAACUUCUAUUCUAACGGACUGAAUAUCUUUUAUAAGGAAUCGGAGGAAUAUGCGACGAUUUUUUCCCGGAAAUCCCCAACGAAAAAUACAGACUAUUCCUUCCUUUAUAUCGAAUCGAUCAUAACCACUACCUACAUUCCAGGAAAUUGUGCACCACAAAUAAGAGCUAAUAAAGAGACCCGCAAUUCCGUAGAAAGACAUCACGAUUCCUUGUGGAAAAAAAAUGAUUUGCUGAGGCGGAAAAAAAGAUAUCAAAUUUCUACCAAGAUAACUGGAAGUUCCAACUAAUAAGAAGCCUAAUGAACCUAAAAAAAGGAUAAAGGCCCAGCAGAAAUUACUUAUUUUUCGAGACCCCGUUAUAAGUUCUAUCCAUAUAUGUUCUGAUCGCCAAGUCAUACUUUACCCGAUUGCAUUUUAUUAGAAUUGAGAUAAUACCCCAUAGAAAUUUGACUUUACUUUUUUGUUUCCGAAGUAACUCUCAUCAACUAGCACUAGUUUGAGGUGAACUAGCACUAGUUUGAUGUCAACCUUUAGGAGUAAUUCAUCAAAUUGGUUAAAUCUAAAAUAAUAACAUACUCUUUAUUUAAUACGAUCCCACUAUACAUAUCGAUAUACAUAGAGAUUAACCGACUACAUUUCAGCCAUCCAGUGAUCCUGAUCUAUUUGAAAAUUACUAGAAUGGAUAUAUCCAUAUAUCAUGUUUCUGCAGGCAUAAGAGUUUUUUCCUUUAUGUUCGGUAGAAAUCACAUGUUAUACUCUAUUCCAAUAAAUAGAUAUCCGUGUUAUGAUACAAGUCCACGUUUUCAAAAAAAAAUGGAUGAGAUUGGGUCCCAGCGUAUCUAAACAAUCUUGUUUUUUUGAACAUGAAUAAAUAAAGAAGCCAUUGCAAUUGCCGGAAAGACUAGGCCUACUAACGGCACAAAAAUAGAUGGAAGGUUCAAAUUUGUCAUAGAAGGGGUACCUCGAUUUACUAUAUUGUAUCUGUUAUUAUGUUAUUAUAUAAAUAAAGAUAUCUUGUAAUAAUUAAAUAAUUAUAAUUAAAUUAAGAAUUUGAAUUCUAAUUAGAUAAUAUUUAUUAUUAAUAGAAUUUGAAGAAUUUGAAAUUCUUAGUAUAGAUCUAAGUAUCUAUAUAUCUAAAUCUAACUGAGUACGUAUAAUAAGAAUAAGUGCAAAGAAUGUAGAACUAAAUAAAUGGACUUAUUCAUCUCUUACAUGAGAAAGAUAUGUAUCAUAAUAAACUUUAUUAUUCAUUUCUUUGUCUUUUGUUCUUGUCUUCUAAUUUUCUAAAAAUAGAUAAAGAGAUUAUCGAAAGAUUCGUUCGAAUCCGACCCAACAUGAAUUUUUAGCUAAAAUGGUUUUUAGGGAGAUAGAGAAAGAUACAAAACUCUAUUAUCUAUAUUUUAAUUUCAAAUUAUAUACCUAAGACAAGAAGAAAUUCGUUUUAUUUUCCUAAUUUCACGAAAGGAAGAACUCACUCUUGGUGAUAAAGGCUUCUUGAUUCGUAAUCAGGAAUAUAGGUCAAAAAAGAGUUAUCCUCAACUUUAGUUUUGAUUCUUUCUACAAUUAGAUCUUCUAUCACCAAAGAAAGGGCCAUUAUUAUCUUAUUUACUUUAUCUUAUUUACUUUGAUUCCGAUAAACUAACUACUUUUUUGCUACAAACACAAAUAAAAUAAAAUAAUGGCCUUAGUGCUCUACUUGAUUUUGCUUGACUUUUGAUUCAAAGGAAAAAAGGCGUGGAGCUUAAAUAACUCACUCAGAACGCUUUUUAAAAGAUUACGUGGUACAAUUAGGUCGAAUAAACCCUUCUGGAAUAAGUAUUCAGCUACUUGUGAACCUUCGGGUACUGUUUUAUUCAAUGUUUGUUCAAUUACUCUUUUACCUGCAAAUGCAAUGUAGGCAUUGGGUUCGGCAAUAAUGAUAUCCCCCAACAUACCAAAACUAGCUGUCACUCCACCAGUUGUCGGAGAUGUAAGGAUUGAUACAUAAAAUAAUUUUUUAUUUAAUUGAUAAUCAUAUAAAGCAGACGAUAUUUUAGCCAUUUGCAUCAAGCUCAAACUUCCUUCCUGCAUGCGCGCCCCCCCAGAAGCACACACUAUAAUAAGAGGUAAAAUUUGAUUGGCAGCGUGUUCAAUCAAACGGGUGAUUUUCUCUCCGACUACGGAUCCCAUACUACCCCCCAUAAACUGAAAAUCCAUAACCCCAAUUGCUACGGGAAUGCCGUUUAUUUGGCCUAUGCCUGUUUGAACAGCCUCGGUUAAUCCUGUCUUUCUUUGAUAAGAAUCAAUACGAUCUUUAUAAGGCUCCUCUUCCGAAUGAAAUUCAAUGGGAUCCAGAGAGACCAUGUCUUCAUCCAUAGGAUCCCAAGUACCCGGAUCGACCAAAAGUUCAAUUCUGUCCGAACUACUCAUUUUCAAAUGAUAUCCACAUUGUUCACAAAUAUUCAUUUUUGAUUUAAAAAAUUUCUUAUAAUUUAAUCCAUAACAAUUCUCGCAUUGAACCCACAAAUGCCUGUAUUUUUGAGUUACCUCGAGAUCAUUAGAACUUUCUCUUAUAGUUAAAUCACUGCCAUUAGUUAAAUCACUGCCAAUAGUUAAAACACUGCCAUUAGAACUUUCUCUUAUAGUUAAAUCACUACCGUUAGAACUUUCUCUUAUAGUUAAAUCACUGCCAAUAGUUAAAUCACUGCCAAUAGAUAAAUCACUACCAUUAGAACUUUCUCUUAUAGUUAAAUCAUUGCCCUUUGUGCGAGUUUGUAUACUGGAACCCUCAUUUUCACUACUAUUUUUACUUUCACCACCACAAACGGCCCUAUAAAUGUAACUGUCACUGUAAUUCUCACUACCACUUAUAAUGGAAGUGUCGAUACAGAUUUGAGACUGAAGAUAAUUAUCAAUGCAACUAUUUAUGUGAUUAUUCCAACUAUAUUGAGUAUCAUACAUGUAAAAAUUAUAGUAAGGAUCUUCGCCCCUAAAUCCAUUAUUCAGAUAACUUGAGUUUCGGUAACUGUAAAAAGAACUUUCUAGUUCACGCAGAAAAGAAUGAUCAUUGUCAAUCUCAAAAAUCUGAUUGUCAAUAUCAAAAUAGAUGGAAUAAUUGUCUCCAUUCCUAUCACUAACAACAAAAGUGUCAUCAGAGAUGAAAUUUCGAAUGUCGUUAACGCGGAAUAAAUAAUCAGCAUUAUUGCAACUAGGAAUGUUUUUAACUUUUUGAUUUGGAUCUUCACUGGUAUUUUCAAUAGGACCAAGACUGCCCAUUGAUUUAUUUAGCCCACACCUAUGUUCGAACACCUUCUUAAACAACAUCGAAUUAAACCACCAUCUUUCCAUAAAGUUUUCUUGCCCCAUAUUUGCAUGAAAAUACAAUAGAUGAAUAGUCAUUCGCUAUAAAAUUAUUUAUUUGAAUAUCGUAUUUCCUAUCAGACUAAACAUAGAAAUCUAAUCACUAGGAUUAUUAGUAGGAUUAUUAGUGAGUAUUGAGAAAAAGUUCUGAAUCUGGGGGAACACUUCACUAUAUAUUAAUAUGUCGGAACCCCCUUUUAUUAUUUUAUUAUUAAAAAUAAUAUAAAUAUAAUAAUAUAAUUUUUGAUAAGGGGCGGCUUCUCCUAUGUCGUGUCAAAUUCGCAUCGAAAAAAAGAGAUUUGUCCUCUCCUAUACUCCUAUAAAGAAAUCAAAAAAAUUUUCUUAAAAUCUCGUCUAAUACUAAUAUCUAAUCACUAACUAAUCUAAAAUCUAAUAAAAUAAUAAGUAAUAAAUUAAGCUUCCAUUUCAACACGGAACGGAACAAAGGGGACAAUAUACAGGAUGGGUAGAAAGAGUUGUGCUACUUGGCUUGAUUCAGGGAAACUACAAACUACAGGAUAGAAAAAAAUAUACCAAUCCUAAGAAUCCGUAGGAUUUAUUGUGGAUCCAAGACAACAAUAGAAAGAUUUGAGUCUUACAUUUUUAUUUAGUUUUCUAGAUUUUGUAUUUCAAAUCUUGUAUAUCUAGGUAAGUAUAUACUUAGUCAAAAUAUAUGCAAUAGAAUUUUUGUUGUAUUCGACUCAAUCCUUUUAGUAAAAGAUUAGGCCGAAUUUAAUUGCAAUUAAUUGCAAUUCAAUUAAGAGAACGAAGGAUAACUACUUGAGUUCUUUCUCCUUAUCCUUCAUUAUUUCUUGCUAAUUUAUCUGCUAAUGUCUACUGUUUUUACUUAUCCAAAACGUCCACUGCUGCAAAAUUAAAUACGAUCUCUUUCCAUACCUCACAAGCAGCAGCUAGUUCCAGGAUCCAUUUGGAAGCCUCGCGAAUAAUCUCAUUACCUUCUCGAGUAAGAUCGCGUCCUUUAUUACGAGAUUUUACACAUGCUUCUAGAGCAACUCGAUUAGCUACGGCACCUGGCGCAUUACCCUAAGGAUGUCCUAAAGUUCCUCCACCGAACUGUAGUAUGGAAUUAUCCCCAAAGAUCUCAGUCAGAGCCGGCAUAUGCCAAACAUGAAUACCUCUUGAAGCCACAGGUAGAACACCUAGUAAAGAGACCCAAUCUUGAGUGAAAUAAAUUCCAUGACUUAGAUCUUGUUCAACAAAAUCAUCAUGCAAUAAAUCAACAAAGCCCAAAGUUAUGUCUAUUUCACCUUCAAGUUUACCUACUACUGUACUAGCGUGAAUAUGAUCUCUAAAAGACAUACGUAACGCUUUUGCUAAUACCCGAAAGUACAUACGAUAAUUCUUCUGUCUAUCAAUAACCGCAUGCAUUGCACGGUGGAUAUGAAAAAGUAGACCAUUAUAUCAGCAAUAAUGAGUCAAGCUAGUAUUUGCGGUGAAUUCCCCCCGUUAAGUAGUUAUGCAUUACGAUCGGAACACCUAAUUCUCUAGCAAAUACAGCUCUUUUCAUCAUUUCUUCCCAUGUACCUGCAGUAGCAUUCAUGUAAUGCCCUUUGAUUUCACCUCUUUCAGUCUGUGCUUUAAAAAGUGCUUCAGUACAAAAUAAGAAACAAUCUCUCCAAUGCAUAAAUGGUUGUGAGUUCACGUUCUUAUCAUCUUUGGUAAAAUCAAGUCCGCCGUGAAGACAUUCAUAAAUAGCUCUACAGUAUUUUUUAGCAGAUAAACCCAAUUUAGGUUUAAUAGUACAUCCCAACAGAGGAAGACCGUAACUGUUUAAUUUAUCUCUUUCACCUUGGAUCCCAUAAGGCGGACCUUGGAAAGUUUUAAUAUAAGCAGUAGGGCCUCGCAGAUCUUCCGGACAUAGAGCGCACAGGGCUUUGAACCCAAAUACAUUACCUACAAUGGAAGUAAACAUGUAGGUAACGGAACCUUCUUUAAAAAGGUCUAAAGGGUAAGCUACAUAAGCAAUAUAUUGAUCUUUUUCUCCAACAACAUGCUCGAUGCGGUAGCAUCGCCCUUUGUAAUGAUCAAUACUGGUAAGUCCAUUGGUCCAUACAGUUGUCCAUGUACCAGUAGAAGAUUCGGCAGCUACCACGGCCCCUGCUUCUUCAGCUGGAACUCUAGGUUGAGGAAUUACUCGGAAUGCUGCCAAUAUAUCAGUAUCCUUGGUUUGGUACUCAAUAGUAUAAUAAGUCAAUUUGUACUCUUUAACACCAGCUUUGAAUCCAACACUUUCUUUAGUCUCUAUUUGUGGUGACAUAAAUCCCUCCCUACAACUCAUGAAUUAAGAAUUCUCACAACAACAAGGUCUACUCGACACGAAUUACGCGUUAAUGAAACUUUUCACAGGAAUCUUUCAGAAAAUUUCCAACUAAUACUAAUAUUAUCAAUUAAUCAGAAUGGUUGAUUAUUAGACCAUGGUAUUUGAUUUGCCAAAUACAUCAUUAUUGUAUACUCUUUCAUAUAUAUAGCGCAACCCAAUUUUGAUUUUUUACCUUUUUUUUUGAAAUGGAAAUACCUAACUAAACUAAAUAAUAAGAACUUCCCCCUUGACAGUGGUAUAUGUUGUAUAUGUAAAUCCUAAAUGUGAAAAUAUAUGGAAUUCCGCUAUGAAAGGUAUAAAAAAGAAAGAAAAACGCAAAGAAAAGAAUAGGCUAGGCAUAAAUCAAUAUGCUGAAAUUUAACUAAAAAAUAAAUAAGAAAAAUAAGAAGAGGAGCCCAUUAGAUCCAAAUAGUGAAUCGUAAUAGAAAUAUAAAAUAAAGUUCAGGUUCGAAUUCCAUAGAAUAGAUAAUAUGGAUGGGAUUGUCUAUAAUGAUAGACAAAUGAAAGACUUUCUCAAGAUUCUGAUUCAUCCACUUGAGAUUUUUAAAUUAAAAUAGGUUGGGUGAGCUUGCAAGUUAACUCAAUCUCAUUGAAUAAGUAAACAAUUGGAUUGGUUCAAUUGCAUGGUGCCAACAAAAUCGAGUUCUAAUUCCCAUUUUAUUGAAUUAACCGAUCGAUGUGCUAUCGAACAUUUACUUUGAAUUCGAUAAUUUUUGAAAAAAUAUUUGGACAUAUUUAUUUAUUUUAUUAUUAUGAGAAUCAAUCCUACUACUUCUGGUUCUUGGGUUUCCACGCUUGAAAAAAAAAACCUGGGGCGUCUCAUCUAAAUCAUCGGUCCGGUACUAGAUGUAGCCUUUCCCCCGGGCAAGAUGCCGAAUAUUUAUAACGCUCUCGUAGUUCAAGGUCGAGAUAGUGUUGAUCAACCAAUUAUGGGGCUUGUGAGGUACAACAAUUAUUAGGAAAUAAUCGAGUUAGAGCUGUAGCUAUAAGUGCUACAGAUGGUUUAACGAGAGGAAUGGAAGUGAUUGACACAGGAGCUCCUAUAAGUGUUCUGGUCGAGGGGGCAACUCUGGGAUAAAUUUUUAAUGUUCUCAGAGAGCCUGUUGAUAAUUUAGGGCCUGUAGACAAGUACAACAUCUCCUAUUCAUAGAUCUGCACCCACCUUUAUACAGUUGGAUACAAAAUUAUCUAUUUUUGAAACAGGAAUUAAAGUAGUAGAUCUUUUAGACCCUUAUCGCCGUGGAUGGAAAAUCAGACUAUUUGGGGGAGCUGGAGUGGGUAAAACAGUACUCAUUAUGGAAUUGAUUAACAAUAUUACUAAAGUUCACGGGGGCGUAUCCAUAUUUGGUGGAGUGGGUGAACGUACUCGGGAAGGAAAUGAUCUUUACAUGGAAAUGAAAGAAUCUGGAGUGAUUAAUGAAGAAAAUAUUGCAGAAUCAAAAGUGGCCCUAGUUUAUGGUCAAAUGAAUGAACCACAAGGAGCUCGUAUGAGAGUAGGUUUGACUACCCUAACUAUGGCAGAAAAUUUCCUAGAUGUUAAUGAGCAAGAUGUACUUCUAUUUAUUGAUAAUAUCUUCCAUUUCGUCCAUACCUUCCGCUUUGGGUUAUCAACCGACCCUAAGUACUGAAAUGGGCUCUUUAUAAGAAAGAAUUACUUCUACCAAAGAAGGGUCCAUAGCCUCUAUUCAAGCAGUUUAUGUACCCGCUGACAAUUUGACCGACCCUACUCCUGCUAUGACAUUUGCACAUUUAGAUGCUACCGUACUAUCAAGAGGAUUGGCUGCCAAAGGUAUUUAUCCAGCAGUAGAUCCUUUAGAUUCAACAUCAACCAUGAUUCAACCUCAGAUCGUUGGUGAAGAACAUUACGAAAACGCCCAACGAGUUAAGUAAACUUUACAACGUUACAAAGAACUUCAGGACAUUAUAGCUAUCCUUGGAUUGGAUGAAUUAUCUGAAGAGGAUCAUUUACUCGUAGCAAGAGAGCAAAAAAUUGAGCGUUUCUUAUCACAACCCUUUUUCGUAGCAGAAGUAUUUACCGGUUCUAUAGGGAAAUAUGUCGGUCUAGCAGAAACAAUUCAAGGAAUUCAAUCGAUCCUUUCCAGAGAAUUAGAUGGGCUUCUUGAACAGGCCUUUUAUUUAGUAGGUAAUAUUGAUGAAGCUACCGCGAAGGCUAUGAACUUAGAAAUGGAGAGCAAUUUGAAGAAAUGACCUUAAAUCUUAGUGUACUGACUCCUAAUCGAAUUUUUUGGGAUUCAGAAGUGGAAGAAAUCGUGUUAUCUACUAAUAGUGGUCAAAUUGGCAUAUUACCAAAUGACGCCCCUAUUGCCACAGCUAUAGAUAUAGGGAUUUUGCGAAUACGCCUUAACAAUCGAUGGUUAACGAUGGCUCUGAUGGGUGGUUUUGCUAGAAUAGGCAAUAAUGAGAUCACUAUUUUAGUAAAUUAUGUGGAGAAGGGUAGUGACAUUGAUCCACAAGAAGCUCAACAAAAUCUUGAAAUAACGAAGGAUAAUGUGAAAAAGGCUGAAGGAAGGAGACAAAAAAUUAAGGCAAAUCUAGCUCUCCGACGAGCUAGAACACGGGUGGAGGCUAUCAAUCCGAUUUCAUAACUAGUUAGUACGACUAGUUAGUACAUUCGAAUAAUAGAAAGAAGUUCUCUUUCUAAACCUAUUUAGAUUCUGUUGGGUGAAUACAAUCAAAUACAAUCAAAUAGAAGCCAAUUCUGAUGCAAAAAUUCAAAUUUAAAAAUGAAAUAGAAAAGAUACAAAAUCAAAAAAUAAAUAUCACUAAAGGUGGGUCGUAAACCUUAUUAGAUACCAUUGACUCUGGUAUCUAAUAAGUUUUACCUACUAUUGGAUUUGAACCAAUGACUCCCGCCGUAUGAAAGCAGUACUCUAACCACUGAGUUAAGUAGGUCAUUUAUCAUUCCAAAGAGAACCAAACGAAACCCAUCCUGUCGAUGGAUUAUAAAUAUCAUAUUACUUAUAAGCAAUACUAAUCUAAUAAGCAAUACUAAUCUAAGGAAUACCACUCAAAGAGAUCAAAGAUUGUUGAUGUUGGAUCAUGGAAUAUUUAUCUUGACAAGAAUUUAUCUACAUGAUAAAAUAUGUAUCACAAGCACUAAGGGCUAUAGCUCAGUUGGUAGAGCAACUCGUUUACACGCGCGCCAAUGUUUUUCAAGGGAGUUCAUCAUACAAUCAGAAAAAUCGAUCUUGUUGAGAAAUCGAUGUCUUACUCCAUAACUUUGAGGGAACCAUAGCCUGACAAAGGGUUCGGUCCAAUUUGGACGUCCAUUUAGGAGGUGCCAAACAGACCCCAUCAUUGAUUUGAGAUCUUGAUAAGGUGAAUACCCAGUCUAUUCAAUGCUAGGCAUAAUGAGAGUAUAAGGACCUCAAAAAAAUCUCUUUUCGUCAUAUGAACUUUAAGGUGUAUGAAGUUUCAUAUUUGAUUUUUUAAGCAGAAACGAUAGAGACUUCAUUUAACUUAGGUUUAUUUAGGCCAGAGACAGACCUACGUCAAGAUAAUCCCACCUUUGAAACACUUUGGUAAUGCUCCCAAAUAAUGAAUCAGAGCACAUGGAGCCAUUUCCUUAUCUUUUUUUCUGUCAAGAAAAAAAAUGGCAGACUAACUGCUAUAAAUAUCAGUUAAUGAAAGAGCCCAAUGCAAAAAAAAUGCAUGUUGGGUCUUUGAAACAGUUCAGAUCAUUUUAAUAAUAAUAAGUUUGAUCUGUUUUACCGAGAAGGUCUACGGUUCAAGUCCGUAUAGCCCUAUAAAAUAAAAUAAAAAUGAAAAAAUAAAAUUGUAUAAUUUUCAUUUCUUCAUUAUUAUUUCUUGCUUGUAACUAAGUGAAAUUCAACUAUUCCUAUAAGUUUACUCACGGCAAUCGUUUAAGUUUAAGCAGAUGAAAGAAAAAACGCAUAUCAAUGGAUCCAAUCGAUAUUUAUUUUUUCAAUUGCAGAUAAACAAACCAACCUUUCGUCAUUAAUCUUCGGAGGCGAAUUACAUAUUCAUAUCCACAAUAAAAGAAUUAGUGAGACCCCCUUUCUUUUGAUAUCCCCAAUCUUAUUGAAUUUUGGAAGUCAAAUCAUUUCACGGGCCUGGUGAAAUGAAAAACUACGAAGAGGAAUUCACAUGGAUUUAGGAAGGGACUGCUGUAUUUGUGUACAAGCUAAAGUUUUUUGAAAAACGAAUAUCUUUGGUCACUUUCAUUAUCAAAUAGGCUUUUCCUUCGUAUACCUUACUUACCUCGACCUAGCGAAGCACAACACAAAAAAGGUAGUCUUCUUUUUCUGUAUUCAACCAAGAAAAACCCCUCCACCUGGAUUCGAAUCCUAAUACUAUUAUUAAAUAAUAAUAAAAUAAUAAAAGGAAUAUACCAACACAAGAUCUUCUAAAUCUUGAGAUGGAAGUUCCUAUACAUUCUCUUCUAUUUGAUUACUUGUUCCAUUCUAGAUCACUAAAUCACUAAGAAAAAAAAUUAAAAUAAAGACCUCCUGAUUCUAUUUAUUCUAUUUAUAGAAAAAAAUAGAAAUAUUUAAAGAAUUUCUAAUUAAAGAAGAAAAAUUAAAGAAGAACUAAGAUAAUUAAUUAAUUUAGAAUUCCCCGUCUUUAGUUUAGAGAAAAAAACAAGAGAAAGAGGAGAAUUUGUAUAAGAGUAAUAUAUAGUUAGAAGGUUCUACUAACUAAAUAAAAUGGAAAUAAGUAUAAUGGAAAUAAAAUCGGAUUCCAGUCGAUGAAUCUUGCAAUGAGAUAUGCCCUACAAUAAACCAAUAAACAAAGCCAAACUAGGCGGUUCGACCAAAAUGAAUUCUUGUUUUGACUAAUAUAGUUAUGGAUGGCUUGACAAUUACAAUUCGAAUCGACCAAUCGAAUCCGGUAUAUUUUCCACGUUCAUAGGAGUGCGUUUAUGUUUCUGCUUUACGAAUAUGAUUUUUUUUGGGCAUUUCUAAUAAUAUCCAUCCUUGUUCCUAUUUUGGCAUUUUUCAUUUCCGGAGUGUUAGCCCCGAUUAGCAAAGGGCCGGAGAAACUUUCUACUUAUGAGUCGGGUAUAGAACCAAUGGGUGAUGCUUGGUUACAAUUUCGAAUCCGUUAUUAUAUGUUUGCUCUAGUUUUUGUUGUUUUUGAUGUUGAAACGGUUUUUUUUGUUGUUUUUGAUGUUGAAAUGGUUUUUCUUUAUCCAUGGGCAAUGAGUUUCGACGUAUUGGGUGUAUUUGUAUUUAUAGAAUCUUUGAUUUUCGUGCUUAUCUUAAUUAUUGGUUUAGUUUAUGCAUGGCGAAAGGGGGCAUUGGAAUGGUCUUAGCUCCUGAAUAUUCAGACAAUAAAAAGAAAAACGGAAAAAAUAAGAUUGAGACAGUUAUGAAUUCUAUUCAGUUUCCUUUACUUGAUCGAACAGCCCCAAAUUCAGUUAUUUCAACUACAUUAAAUGAUAUUUCAAAUUGGUCAAGACUCUCUAGUUUAUGGUCGUUUCUCUAUGGUACCAGUUGUUGCUUCAUUGAAUUUGCUUUACUAAUAGGCUCACGCUUCGACUUAGAUCAUUAUGGACUAGUACCAAGAUCGAGUCCUAGACAAGCAGAUCUAAUUUUAACGGCUGGAAUAGUAACAAUGAAAAUGGGCCCCUCUUUAGUGAGAUUAUAUGAGCAAAUGCCUGAACCAAAAUAUGUUAUUGCUAUGGGAACCUGUACAAUUACAGGCAGGAUAUUCAGUACCGAUUCUUAUAGUACUGUUUGGGGAGUCGAUAAGCUAAUUCCUGUAGAUGUAUAUUUGCCAGGUUGCCCACCUAAAUUGGAAGCGGUUAUAGAUGCUAUAACAUAACUUCAUAAGAAAAUAUCUCGAGAACUCUAUGAAGAUCGAAUUAGGUCUCAAUGAGGGAAUCGGUGUUUUACUACCAAUCACAAGUUUCAUGUUCGAUACAGUAUUCAUACGGGAAAUUAUGAUCAAAGAGUUCUUUAUCAACCACCAUCUACUUCAGAGAUCCCUACGGAAAUCUUUUCCAAAUACAAAAAUUCAGUAUCUUCCCCCGAAUUAGUGAAUUAGACAGGAUUCCUUUGUCCAGAAUAAGAAGUGGUGGGUCAAUUUUCAUAAAUUUAAUCAUAAAUGUGAAAUACUUAUACAAAUAAAAAUACGGGAGAGAUAAAAAAGAUACAGGGUCAUUUGUCUGCUUGGCUAGUCAAGAAUGGGCUAAUUCAUAGAUCUUUGGGCUUUGAUUACCAAGGAAUAGAGACUUUAGAAAUAAAUCUUGAGGAUUGGCAUUCCAUUGCCGUCAUUUUUUAUGUAUAUGAGGUACAAUUAUCUCCGCUCUCAAUGUGCCUAUGAUGUAGUGCCUGGCGGGCUGUUAGCUAGUGUGUAUCAUCUUAUGAGAAUAGAGGAUGGUGUGGAUCAACCAGAAGAGGUAUGCAUAAAAGUCUUUGCCUCCCGUAGGAAUCCUAGAAUUUCGUUUGUUUUUUGGGUUUGGAAAAACGUGGAUUUUCAAGAACAAGAAUCAUAUGAUAUGUUGGGAAUUCUUAUGAUAAUCAUACAUGCUUGAAACGUAUUUUAAUACCUAAUAGUUAGAUAGGAUGGCCCUUACGUAAGGAUUAUAUUGCCCCUAAUUUUUAUGAAAUACAAGAUGAUCAUUGAAUAAUGAGAAAGCUAUUUCCACUUAGACAAUUUAAGAUAUUCAAGGAUUGUACGUUCUAUUCUAGAUUAAGCAGGUCUAAUUUAGGGAAUUAUCAAUAGGCUAACAAAAAAAAGACAAUUAGGGAUUCAUUGUAAUUAUCACAUUUAUUUGGAAGAUACUUAUUUCGGAUGGGUCAUACUAAUAGGAUGAACCAAAUGAGUUCUGCAUCAUGAACUUUGUACUGUGCACAUUACUUAGAAGGGUUCUAGAAGGGUAUAUAGGAAGGGAUGGAGAAAUCCGAAAUGAAGAAAUUGAAUAUGAAAGAAAAGACAAAGAAAUGAUAGAAUAUCAAAUUCUAUUUCCUUGGAUCUGAGCUGAAUCUUGUCUAUUUCAACCCCCCUGGAUUCGACUUUUGAGCCUUUUUCAACAAUUAACCAAUUUUACCUUUUGAAUAUGUAUUAUGUAUUAAAAUUAGUUUGAACGAGAGGAGAGAAAAAAAAGAGAUAGAAUCCAAUUCUUUUCAAAACUUUAUCUAAGAAACUCUACCCAUAUAGAACAUAGUAUGGGGUAUAUCUCGCCAAACUGGAUAAAGCUAUUAUUCUAAUCUAGACUCUAAAAGAAUAUGUAUGUUGAUUCAUAUCAAUUAAUUAGAAAUUAAUUCUAGUGAAGAGAGACCCAUACAAAUUAAUCAUGUGCCAGGAACCAGAUUUGAACUGGUGACACGAGGAUUUUCAGUCCUCUGCUCUACCAACUGAGCUAUCCCGGCUAUUCCCAAUCCAGAUUUUUUAUCAAGGUUGGGACUGGUAACCCAAGGAUUUUCAGGGCUAUACCAAUCCCAAUUGGAACCUCGAACAUGAGAAUUUUAAGUCCCCGUUAACUGGAGGAUUUAGAGUCCUCUGGUCUUCCCAAUUGGAACCGUUCGUUAACAUGAGGAUUUUUAGUUUUCUGCUUGUUACUCAGUUCUCUGCUUGUUACUCUAAUUUUAUCUUAACAAAUUUGAUCUUAACACAUAAACGGGUCUUUGUCAAUAGGUCUUUGUCAAUUAAAAGGACAAAAGUCGAUUAAAAAAUUUUAUCAAAGCCGGGGAAUUUCUUCGAUCUUCAAAAAGAUGACUUUGUAAGUUUCAGUAUUGAGUAAUGAUAUUGGUAAUCAUUCAACUAGGGAUUCCUUGCUCAAAGAUGUUCAGUUCUAUGUGUAUCAUAUAUAUCACAAGGCUUAAGAGAAAGCCAUUUACGCUAAAAUCCAUUUCUAAAAGAAAAAUCCAUUUCUAAAAGAAUAGAGUGAAUGAGAAAGAUAAGUAAUUUGGAACUGCUAAGGAAAGGGGGUCGGAGAAAUAGUUGGGGGUUGAAAUAGUCUUUUUGGGGAUAGAGGGACUUGAACCCUCACGAUUUUAAAAGUCGACGGAUUUUCCUCUUACUAUAAAUUUCAUUGUUGCCGGUAUUGACAUGUAGAACGGGACUCUAUCUUUAUUCUCGUCCGAUUAAUCAGUUCUUCAAAAGAUCUAUCAGACUAUGGAGUGAAUGAUUUGAUCAGGGAUUCGGGUCGUCAUUAAUCAUUUGAUAUAGUAUUCAAUACGUAUGUAUAUACGUUUAUCCUUCACUUCAUUCUUUUUCUUUCUGAAGUUUCGAUGUAAAGAUUCCUCUACCAACACAUUUAACUCCAUUUGUUAGAAUAGCUUCCAUUGAGUCUCUGCACCUAUCCUUUUUUUCUGAACCUUUAUUUGUUUUCAGAAAAUAGGAUUUGGCUCAGGAUUGCCCAUUUUUGUUCAUUCCAGGGUUUCUCUGAAUUUGAAAGUGAUCACUUAGUAAGUUUCCAUACCAAGGCUCAAUCCAAUUAAGUCCGUAGCGUCUACCGAUUUCGCCAUAUCCCCCUUUCUUUUUGUUUUGAGAUUAGGAUCUCGUUGUGAUGUCAUUCCUUUUUCUUUUUCUUUCAUUUAUACUGGAACCAUUGAAUUCAUUAGAUACCGAUUCCUAUCUCGAAAACGUGUUUUCUCCUCUUUGAUUUUCUUAACUAUCUUCUAUAGGCGACCUUUUUUUAUCCAAUCAAAAAUGAUUUUAUCAUUUCGGAAUCCGCAAUUCAAUAUAGAUGGAUCUAUACCCCAUCUAUAUGUCCCUCUUCCUGUCAUUUUGCCAUUCAAUUUGGAAUACUUGAACGAUCGAUUCUUGUUUUUUAUCUUCACUUUCGCCUGAAAGCGGAGGAAUGUCUCAUUAAUUAUAACUAACCAUUCCAUUAAACAAUUUUUAAAUAAAUAUAGAAUGAGAGAUAUAUAUGAUAUAGAAUCAAAUAUAGAACUGUAAUAAAAAAGAUUUCAAAUGCCAAAAAAAGAAAUGAAAAAGAAUAUUUACCAUUCAAAUUGAAAAUGAAAAUAAAAAGAAUAUUAACAAUAUUUGCAAUCACUAUUUAAUGAUAUUAGUAUUAGAAUUGUUAUUAGAAUUGUGAUAAAUCGAAAUUCUAGAUCGCUAUAGUAAUCCUUAUGCUCUAGAAUCUAGAAUAUUCAAUAUAAUAUUGAAUAGUUAAUAAUUCCAAUUCCAGUAGUUUAGGCAAUUACUAUGCAUAUAAGAUUUCUGUGAUGUGGGCCCGCUUAGCUCAGAGGUUAGAGCAUCGCAUUUGUAAUGCGAUGGUCAUCGGUUCGAUUCCGAUAGCCGGCUUUUCCCUAUUCUUUGAUUUCAAAGAAACAUUAUCAAUCAUCUAAAAAAUGGAAAAAAAAGAAUAGGGAAAUAGCGCCUUCCUCCUUUUCCAAAAGCUAUCAAUUUAUUAUAGGAACUUCCAAUUAUGUCAGGAAAGGAUUAUAUAUAUAAUAGAAGGGGUUCUGUAUAUUUAUCCAAUUCACCCCAUUCUUCUUUUCUUUAUAGUAUUUAUAUUAAAUAGUAAUAGUACAAGUACACUAUUUCAGUAAACUUCGCUUCAUUUAGUUCAGUUUAGUUUUAGUUUAGGUUUAUUCUGUAAAAUAAAAUUCAAUAAAAAAUAAAUAGAAAUAAGAAUUAAUUCGAAAUACUAAAUAAGAAAUAAGAAUAAGGAGUCUUUAUGUCGCGUUACCGAGGACCUCGUUUCAAAAAAAUACGACGCCUGGGGGCUUUACCAGGACUAACUAAUAAAAAGCCUAGGACCGGAAAUGAUCUUAGAAACCAAUCGCGUUCCGGAAAAAAAUCUCAAUAUCGUAUUCGUCUAGAAGAAAAACAAAAAUUGCGUUUUCAUUAUGGUCUUACAGAACGACAAUUACUUAAAUACGUUCGUAUCGCCAGAAAAGCCAAGGGGUCAACAGGUCAAGUUUUACUACAAUUACUUGAAAUGCGCUUGGAUAACAUCCUUUUUCGAUUGGGUAUGGCUUCAACUAUUCCCGCAGCCCGUCAAUUAGUUAACCAUCGACAUAUUUUAGUUAAUGGUCGUAUAGUAGAUAUACCGAGUUAUCGCUGCAAACCCCAAGAUAGUAUUACGGCAAAGGAUGAACAAAAAUCCAGAGCUCUGAUUCAAAUUUCUCUAGAUUCAUCCCCUCAUGAGGAAUUACCAAAUCAUUUGACCCUUCACCCAUUCCAAUAUAAAGGAUUAGUCAAUCAAAUAAUAGAUAGUAAAUGGGUCGGUUUGAAAAUAAAUGAAUUGCUAGUCGUAGAAUAUUAUUCUCGUCAGACUUAAACCUCAGACUAAAACCAAGGGUUCGUAAAAUUUUCUUCCCUUUAGGCGAAGUAAAUUAACCCAAGGUUAAGUAAGAUAAAUCCGAGUUUGAUCUGGAUUUCCCCCAUUUUUGUAUCAUAGACCAAGGAUCUAUUUUCAUUCCUUGUUUUCAUUCCUUGUCUACUCUUUUCUUUCCAGUAUUUUGAUUAUGAUUAUUUUUUAGUAUUCUAUUUUACGCGUCAAAGCAAUUAGGAAUUGAGAAUCUAUAUCUUUAGAUCAAAGAAGGGUCUAGCUGUUGGAAUAAUGGUAUCCAUUGCUAUUUGAGCCCUUGUUGUUAGUAAAAUUGGUGAAUUAAACGAAGGUACGGAAAGAGAGGGAUUCGAACCCUCGGUAAACAAAAGCCUACAUAGCAGUUCCAAUGCUACGCCUUGAACCACUCGGCCAUCUCUCCUACAUAAUGAUUAUGACCCCAAAACCGAGUGAAUAGCGAGUCAGUCAUAACCCAUAUUCCAUUAUUGGACUAGGUACGACCAAUCCAUUUUAACUUUAACUGAAAAUUUUUCAUCAAAGUCAAAGCAAAGAACGAUUUUUCUUUCCUUCGAGGCUCCGGGAUAAAGAUAGAAUUUUUCGUAAAAAUUGUUAAAAAAAUUCAAUUCAUGUUUGCAAAAGCAACGUUCCCUUCUUUUUCUGAUAUUUUUAUAACGGAUUAAUUCAAUGAAUUAGAACGAAUCAACUGAUUGAUGGUCUAUAUCUUUUAGACUAUAGUUAAUGGCUACUCUUAAAUCAUAAUUCUAAUUAUAUAGAUAUAGACUAUGAUUCCAUACCAGAAAAUUUUUCAAAUUCCUUUUCGGUUUUGGAGUUCUCAACAACAAAUACCUACCCCUCUAUUAGAAUAGAAAUUCAUAAAAAAAUUUAGAUUUGAUUGUAUAGUGUAUACCCGUUAUGUACACAAAAUUGUCAGUUAUUCUAUUUUCAUCAUAGAAUGAUUAUUCGAUCUUUUUUCUUCUUUGUAAUUUGUAUCAUGAUUCAAUCAAAAUUUCUCGAGUUCUUCUAAUUUGUAACUUCACCGAAAUCGGAAUAGUUCCUAUACUACUACAUCCUAUACUACUACAUUAGUAUGAAAUCGAAUCGCGUUGAAAUAUUUCUUAUUUCUUAGCGACUCCUGUCAAAAAGGAACAAUUGGAAUAGAGGAUUCAUAUCUUUUGUUUUUUUCUUAAAAAAAAAUAAGGUUUUAUGUUAUUUCGUACUAUACAAUUCUUUUCUUUGUGGGAUCUUUUUCCCACGAGAGGUAAUGAGAAGAAUUCUAGAAUGGAUUGCUACCUAUGCCUAGAUCACGUAUAAAUGGAAAUUUUAUUGAUAAGACCUUUUCAAUUGUAGCCAAUAUCUUAUUACGAGUAAUUCCGACAACUUCAGGAGAAAAAGAGGCAUUUACCUAUUACAGAGAUGGUGCGAUUUGAUUCUUUUUUUUUUUAUUUCAUAUUUAUUCAUUUCUCUCAGUCUUACGAGGAGAAAAACACGUGAUUCGAGAAAAUUUUUGAAAAAAAAAAUCUACGCUUUUUGAAGGUGAAGUUUGGAAAUCGAACAAUUCCUUCUGUCGUGUAUCCUCGAUUAAUGCAACCUCAGAUGCUAUGUUUCAAUUCUCGAUUCUAGUAUUAAGCGAAAGGUUACGCCUAGAGGUUCUGUAUUACGGGUCAAUCCUACUCUACUAGCGCUAAUAGGCAGCAUAGGGGAAGAAGCGCUACACCUAGGAAUCAACAACACGAAAACUUUGUUCUAAGUCAGCCCUUCCCUUAGCGGGCUUGGGACUAAAAGAAUGGUUGGGACAACAAACAUCCAUCUCGUUCGUCCUUUGGAUACCCGUAUAACCAUCGAAGGCUAUUGAAGUGACUAAUUCCUGUAAAUUAGGAGGCGUUAAAAACAAAGAAAUUGUUGGAGUUAUCUUAUCAUUUCUAUUUAGUCCUAAUAGGCUUGAUGUUAAGAAAGAAUCUCUUGCAGGAAGGUUGGCUAGAGAUUUCUUGUAAAAACACUAGCCCUGCUGAGUUCAUAAUAAGAAUAUUUUCAUCAUUAAAUCUUUUUUUUUAUUCUAUGUAUUAUUCUCGUUAUGCACAUAAGGAAGGAGCCAUAUAAUUUGAAAUUCUCAUGUACAGUUCUGGAAUGGAGAUUCUUUUAAUUGAAUGACGACCGUAACGAAUGUCGGCUCAAUUCAAAGGAAAUUACGUGGAAGCUUUACAGAAUUAUUAUGAAGCUAUGUGACUAGAAAUUGAUCCCUAUGAUCAAAGUUAUAUAUUCUAUAAUAUAGGGCUUAUCCACCCAAGUAAUGAAGAACAUACGAAAGCUUUGGAAUAUUUUUUUCGAGCACUAGAACAAAACCUAUUCUUACAACAAGCUUUUAAUAAUAUGGCCGUGAUCUGUCGUUACAUGUGACUAUCUCCACUAUAGAAAGAAAAAAAGAAAAAUCUAGUAAAGUAACUACUAGAACCAAAUAGGCUUUCUACAUAUGCAUCGUCUUAUCAGCUGUAGCAAAGAAAGAAACUUCAUAGAAGUCAAAAUAGGAAAAAUAAAAAUGCUUAGCAACUUUUUCUAUGGAUAUAAGGCUUUAAUUGAUAGAGAGAGAGGAAGCACCGUAAAGAUCAAUUAGCGAGGUUUUGGGCCGAUACAAUAAUAACUGCGUACUUAUCUCAUAAUGUGAGAUAAGAAUUAGGAAUUAACUUAUGUAAUAGAGUCGAUCCACUAAAGUCUUGAGCAGCGGUGUAGGAUCAGAUCCCAAAGAUAGUAAGUAUUUUCUUUCUUAUGAAAGAAAGUCUUUUUCAAAGAUUCUAUAUAAAUUUAUCUAUGAAACCGAGAUAGUUACCUUUCAGAAAAUUCUACCAGUAGUAGAAAUGCCUAUGCUUUAUUCUUCUGAAGGUGGGAAAAAAGAUAAAACUAAAUAAACGGAUUAUUCAUCCAAAUUUCAGUUUGAAACUCAUGUAAUUAACCUAUUUUUCUUUUGGUUAACCCUAAAACUGGGAUAGAUCCAUGAGAAAUCUGAUUAGAUAGAUAUGGUAUAGAUCAAAAUGGGACACCAAAAGAAUUGACUGCUGAGCCGUAUGAGGUAAGAAAUUCUCAAGUACGGUUCUAAGGGAAGGAAUUGAACUACCUAUUCCGGCCGGGGAGAACAGGCCAUUCAACAGGGAGAUUCUGAAAUUGCAGAGGCUUGGUUCGAUCAAGCCGCUGAGUAUUGGAAACAGGCUAUAGCGCUUACUCCCGGUAAUUAUAUUGAAGCGCAUAAUUGGUUGAAGAUCACGAGACGUUUCGAAUAAAAGAAGACCCCCUUUAUUUAUUAUCCUUUAUUUAGAAUUUAGAUAUUUGUUAUAAUUAAUUGUUUGUUGGACCCAUCAGAUCAGUUAACUAAAAAACGGAUCAUUCCUUUGCUUUUGGAAGACCCAAUCACAUAAUUUCAUUAUCUCCCUUCUAAGCCUUCUAUUUCACUUCUAUAUUCAUCUGCUAUUUUUUAGGAAUAAAAAAGACAGAUAGAGGACAAAAUAGACUUCUUUUUAUUCUAUUUAUUUAUUAUUUAUUUAUUUAUAUUAAUAUAUUAAAAUUAUUUAUUUAUAUUAAAAUUAAAAUAUAUUAAAAUUAAAAUUAAAAAAUAUUAAAAUGAAAAAAUUCAAUUAAACAAAAUUCUUAUUAGUUAUUAGUAUUAAAACUAAUAAAAGAAACCCUUGAAUCACUAAAUAUAUAUAUACCGGGGAUGUCUCUUAGUAAUGUCUAAUGGCUACUAGCGUGAUUUGGAAUAGAGUAAUUACAAUCUUCUAGGUAAAAAAUUAAAGAGCUCCAUCUAAUAACUUCUAUGAAUAUACACUAGGUUGCACAAAAAAGUCGUUUUUGGAUCAAUCCAAAGCCCAAAAUGGUUUUUAAAAGGUUAAAGGGUCCGUUGAGCGCCUCAAGGCUAUGUCAUAAUAGAUUUAAAAACUUGCCCCGAAUCGAAUUCUAGAUCAUAAUUGCUCUAGUAAAUAACUAAAUAAAAUAGAUAGAUGGGAGAUACAAAAAUAGAAAAGAAACGAACUAAUUAUAGAAAUAUCUCUCUAUCUCUAAGGUUUACUAAUUAUUUGACUGUUGGAGGGUCUCCUUGUAUGUGUUGUCCGGAAAGAGGAGGACUCAAUGAUUAUUCGUUCGCCGGAACCAGAAGUUAAAAUUUUGGUAGAUAGGGAUCCCGUAAAAACUUCUUUCGAAGAAUGGACUAGGCCGGGUCAUUUCUCAAGAACAAUAGAUAAAGGUCCUGAUACUACCACUUGGAUCUGGAACCUACAUGCUGAUGCUUAUGAUUUUGAUAGACAUACCAGUGAUUUGGAGGUGAUCUCUUGAAAAGUAUUUAGUGCACAUUUCGGUUAAAUCUCCAUCGUCUUUCUUUAGUUGGGCGGCAUGUAUUUCCUCGGUGCUCAUUUUUCUAAUUAUGAAGCGUGGCUAAGUGAUCCAACUCAUAUUGGGCCUAGUGCCCAGGUGGUUUGGCCAAUAAUGGGCCAAGAAAUAUUAAAUGGUGACGUAGGCGGGGGUUUUCGAGGAAUACAGAUAACCUCUAGUUUUUUUCAAAUUUGACGAGUAUCUGGAAUAACUAGUGAAUUACAACUCUAUUGUACAGCAAUUGGGGCAUUGGUCUUUGCAGCAUUAAUGCUUUUUGCUGGUUAGUUUAAUUAUCAUAAAGCGACGCCAAAAUUGGCUUGGUUUCAAGAUGUAGAAUCUAUGCUGAAUCACCAUUUGGCAGGUCUACUAGGACUUGGGUCUCUCUCUUGGGCGGGGCAUCAAGUACACAUAUCUUUACUGAUUAUCCAAUUUCUAAAUGCUGGAGUAUAUCCUAAAGAGAUACCACUUCCUCACGAACUUAUCUUGAAUCGAGAUCUUUUGGAUAAACUUUAUCCCAGUUUUGCCGAGGGAGCAACCCCAUUUUUACCUUGAAUUGGUCAAAAUAUUUGGACUUUCUUACUUUUCAUGAAGGAUUAGAUCCAGUAACUGGGGGUUUGCGGAUGACUGAUAUUGCCCAUCACCAUUUAGCUAUUGUAAUUCUUUUCCUGAUAGCGGGUCACAUGUAUAAGACCAACUGGGGUAUUAGUCAUGGACUAAAAGAUUUUUUAGAAGCCCAUAAAGGUCCAUUUACAGGUCAGGGCCAUAAAGGCCUAUAUGAGAUCCUAACAAUGUCAUGGCAUGCUCAAUUAUCUCUUAACUUAGAUAUGUUAGGCUCUUUAACCAUUGUUGUAGCUUAUUAUAUGUAUUCCAUGCCCCCUUAUCCAUAUCUAGCUACUGACUAUGGUACACAACUGUCAUUGUUCACACAUCAUAUGUGGAUUGGUAGAUUUCUCAUAGUUGGCGCUGCCGCGCAUGCAACCAUUUUUAUGGUAAGAGAUUAUGAUCUAACUACUCGGUAUAACGAUCUAUUAGAUCGUGUCCUUAGGUAUCGUGAUGAAAUCAUAUCCCAUCUCAACUGGGCAUGUAUAUUUCCAGGCUUUCACAAUUUUGGUUUGUCUAUUCAUAAUGAUACCAUGAGCACUUUAGGGCAUCCUCAAAAUAUGUUUUCAGAUACCGCUAUACAAUUACAACCUAUUUUUGCUCAAUAAAUACAAAACACCCAUGCUUUAGCACAUGGUGCAACAGCUCCUGGUGCAACAGCAAGCACCAGUUUAACUUGGGGGGGGGUGAUUUAGUGGCAGUGGGUGGCAAGGUGGCUUGGUUACCUAUUCCAUUAGGAACCGCUGAUUUCUUGGUACAUCACAUUCAUACAUUUACGAUUCAUGUGACGGUAUUGAUACUCUUAAAAGGUAUUCUAUUUGCUCACAGUUCUCGUUUGAUACCAGAUAAGGCAAAUCUUGGUUUUCAUUUUCCUUUUGAAGGACUUGGAAGCGGGGGUACAUGUCAAGUAUCGGCCUGGGAUCAUGUCUUCUUAGGACUAUUUUGGAUGUACAAAUCAAUUUCGGUAAUAAUAUUCCAUUUCAGUUGGAAAAUGCAUUCAGAUGUUUAGGGUAGUGUAAGUGAUCAAGGGAUAGUAACUCAUAUCACGGGAGAAAACUUUGGGCAGAGUUCUAUUACUAUUAAUGGGUGGCUCCGCGAUUUGUUAUGGGCACAGGCAUCCCAAGUAAUUCAGUCUUAUGGUUCUUCAUUAUUUGUAUAUAGCCUUUUUUUCCUAGGCGCUCAUUUUGUCUGGGCUUUUAGUUUAAUGUUUCUAUUCAGCGGACGUGGUUAUUGGCAAGAAUUUAUUGAAUCCAUCGUUUAGGCUCAUAAUAAAUUAAAAGUUGCUCCUGCUAUUUAGCCGAGAGCCUUGAGCAUUAUACAAGGACGUGUUGUAGGAGUAACCCAGUACCUUCUGGGUGAAAUUGCCACAACAUGGGCAUUCUUCUUAGCAAGAAUUAUUGCAGUAGGAUAAUGGCUAGAAGGAUUUGAAAAGCAUUAUGGCAUUACGAUUUCCAAGGUUUAGCCAAGGCUUAGCUCAGGACCCCACUACUCGUCGUAUUUUGUUUGGUAUUGCUACCGCACGUGACUUUGAGAGUCAUGAUGAUAUUACUGAGGAACGUCUUUAUCAAAAUAUUUUUGCUUCUCACUUCAGUCAUUUAGCAAUAAUUUUUCUGUGAACUUUCAAAAAUCUGUUUCAUGUAUCUUGGCAAGGAAAUUUUGAGUCGUACAGUUAUUUGGAAACUAUUUCAAGCAAAUGGCAUUCCCCCCUUUUUAUCGACAGAAUAACCCCCCUAUUUUUUUUAUUUUGAUAUCUCUGGACUAAUUAAACCAAUUUUUCAAAAUUGGACAGGUAAAGAGGGAGAAUUCAAGAUUCUAGAGUCUAAAAAAGAACAAACAAAAAGAGAAGAGAAAAAAGAAAAGGACAAAAAAAGGAGAACACCAGAAAGGAAAAAGAACGGCUAGCGGUAGCAGAAGCUUGGGAUAACAUUCUUUGUGCGAAAAUAAUAAGAGGUUACAUGUUAAUAACUCAAUCAAUUCUUCAAAAAUAUGUUGUAUUACCUUCAUUGAUAAUAGCCAAAAAUCUCAAGUGUAUGUUAUUCUUGCAACUUCCUGAAUGGUCUGAGGAUUUGCAGGAAUGGAAUAGAGAAAUGCAUAUUAAAUGUACUUAUAAUGGUGUUCAAUUAUCAGAAACAGAAUUUCCACAAAAUUGGUUGAGCGAUGGGAUUCAGAUCAAAAUUUUAUUUCCUUUUUGUCUGAAACCUUGGCAUAUAUCUAAACUGCACCCCUCCCGCGUAGAGCUGAUGAAAAAGAAAAAACAAAAAGAUGAUUUUUGUUUUUUAAUAGUUUUGGGAAUGGAAGCUGAACUUCCCUUUGGUUCUCCCCGAAAGCGCCCUUCCUUUUUUGAUCACAUUUUUAAGGAACUCGAAAAAAAAAUUGGAAAAUUUAAAAAGAAAUAUUUUAUAAGUUUUAUAACUAUAACUCGAAAAGUUUUGAAAGGAAAAACAAAAUUAUUUCGAAGAGAUUCAAAAGAAACCAAAAAAUGGCUUAUAAAAAAUAUUCUAUUUCUAAAAAAAAUAAAAAAAGAACUUUCAAACAUAAAUCCAAUUGUAUUAUUUAGAUUCAAAGAAAUAUCUGAAUCGAAUGAAACGAAAAAAGAAAAAGAUUAUCUAAUUAGUAAUCAAAUAAUUAACGAAUCAUUUAGUCAAAUUGAAUCUGGAAAUUGGCCAAAUUCUUCACUGAUAGAAACCAAAAUGAAGGAUUUGACUGAUAGAACAAGUACAAUAAAAAAUCAAAUAGAAAGAAUUACAAAAGAGAAAAAGAAAGUAACUCCAGAAAUAGACAUUAGUCCUAAAUCGCCAAAAAAUAUUUUCCAAAUAUUAAAAAAAAGAAAUACUCGAUUAAUAUGUCAAUUCCAUUAUUUUAGAAAAUUAUUCAUUCAAAGAUUAUACAUCGAUCUAUUUUUAUCUAUCAUUAAUAUUACAAGAAUUAAUACACAACUCCGUCUUAAAUCAACAAAGAAAUUGAUUGAGAAAUACAUUUCCAAUAAUGAAAUAAAUCAAGAAAAAAUUAAUAAUAAAAACAAAAUUAACUUUAUCUUUAUUUCGACUAUAAAAAAGUCACUUUAUAAUAUUUAUAAUAUUAGUAAGAAAAAUUCACAUAGUUUUUUUGAUUUAUCCUACUUGUCACAAGCAUAUGUAUUUUACAAAUUAUCACAAACCCAAGUUAUUAAUUUGUCUAAAUUUAAAUCUGUUCUUCAAUAUAACAGAACGUCUUUUUUCCUUAAGACUAAAAUAAAGGACUAUUUUAGAACACUAGGAAUAUUUCAUUCUGAAUUAAAACAUAAAAAACCUCAGAGUUAUAGAAUCAAUCAAUGGAAAAACUGGUUAAGACGGCAUUAUCAAUACGAUUUAUCUAAGAUUAGAUGGUCUAGAUUAAUGCCAAAAAAAUGGAGAACUGGGGUUAAUCAAAGUUGUAUGGCUCAAAAUAAAAAUAGAAACUUAAACAAAUGGAAUUCAUAUGAAAAAGACCAAUUAAUUCAUUACAAAAAAGAAAAUGAUUCUGAACUCUAUUCAUUAUCAAACCAAAAAGAUAAUUUUAAAAAAUGUUAUAGAUAUGAUCUUUUAUCAUAUAAAUCGAUUAAUUAUGAAAAUAAAAGUUACUCAUUUAUUUCUAGAUUACCCUUUCAAGUAAAUAAGAACUUCGAAAUUUCUUAUAAUUCCAACACGCCCAAACACAACCCUUUUGAUAUGCCCGACAAUCUUCAUAUCAAUAAUUAUCUAAUAAAAGGCAAUCUUCUACAUCUACAUAUAGAAAGAAAUCUCGAUAGAAAAUAUAGAAAAUAUUUUGAUUGGAAAAUUCUCCAUUUUUCUGUUAGACAAAAAGGAGAUAUUGAGGCCUGGGUUAAGAUCGAUACCAACAGUAAUCGAAAUACUAAAAUUGGUAUUAAUAAUUAUGAAAUAAUUAAUAAAAAAGGACUUUUUUAUCUUACAACUCAUCAAAAUCCAGAAAAAACUAAAAAAAAUUCGAAAAAAGACUUUUUUGAUUGGAUGGGAAUGAAUGAAAAAAUAUUUAAUCGUCCCAUAUUGGAUAUGGAAUUUUGGUUCUUCCCAGAAUUUGUACUACUUUAUAAUGUAUAUAAAAUAAAACCGUGGAUUAUACCAAGCAAAUUACUUCUUUUAAAUUUGAAUACAAAUGAAAAUGUUAGUAAAAAUCAAAAUAUCAAUAAAAACAACAAAAAAAACUUUUUUCUACCAUCAAAUAAAAAAAUAAAGAAUCGAAUUCAAGAAGCAAAAGAACCCGCAAGUCAAGGAAAAAGAGAGCGUGGAUCAGAUAUAGAAAACAAAGGAAAUCUGGGCCCUGUUUUCUCAAAACAUCAAAACGAUCUUGAAAAAGAUUACGCGGAAUCAAACACAAAGAAGGGUAAAAAUAAAAAACAAUACAAAAGCAACACGGAAGCAGAACUAGAUUUGUUCUUGAAACGUUAUUUGCUUUUUCAAUUGAGAUGGAACGAUACUUUGAAUCAAAGAAUAAUCGAAAAUGUAAAGGUAUAUUGUCUCCUGCUUCGACUGAUAAACCCAAACAAAAUUGCUAUAUCGUCAAUUCAAAGGAGAGAAAUGAGUUUGGAUAUAAUGCUGAUUCAGGCGAAUUUACCUCUUACAGAAUUGAUGAAGAAGGGGUUAUUGAUUAUCGAACCUAUUCGAUUGUCUGUAAAAAAUAAUGGACAAUUUAUUAUGUAUCAAACCGUAGGUAUUUCAUUGGUUCAUAAAAGUAAACACCAAACUAAUCAAAGAUACCGAGACCAAAGAUAUGUUGAUAAAAAUCAUUUUGAUUUGCUUGUUCCUGAAAAUAUUUUAUGGUCUAGACGUCGUAGAGAAUUGAGAAUUCGAAGUUUUUUUAAUUCUUUGAAUUGGAAUGGCGUCGAUAGAAAUUCAGUAUUUUCCAAUGAAACUAAUGUAAAAAACUGGAGUAAAUUUUUGGAUGAAAGGAAACCUCUUUAUAAAGAUAAAAAUGAAUUAAUUAAAUUAAAGUUCUUUCUUUGGCCUAAUUAUCGAUUAGAAGAUUUAGCUUGUAUGAAUCGUUAUUGGUUUGAUACCAACAAUGGUAGCCGUUUCAGUAUCUUAAGGAUACAUAUGUAUCCACGAUUGAAAAUUAAUUGAUAUUACUAUAUACCCUGUCUCGUAUAGAGUAUCUGAAAGAAAACAAAUGCACACAUGCCUUGUCUUACAUCUCAUUCGAAUCUAAUUCGAGUAGACGAUACUAAAUCAAUAAGGUAUCGAUUAGAUCUAGAAAUGAAUCAACGGAAUCUUCUUCAUUUUCGGAUUUUAGGUUUAAAUUAUUCGCUUUUGUGAAUGAAAAAAACGUACCUACCAACUUUUUCUUUUUGGAUUCCUAUCUGAAUCAAAUUUUAAAUUUGAUUAAUUUAUUGGAAUUGAUAAAAUUAGGGGUUCAUAAAGAAAUUAAGUCUAUAUACCACGUUCAAAUUACUGGCAUUAUUAUUACUGAUCGAUAAAAUUCGAUAAAAUCCAUAUCUGUAAAAUAAAGAAAGGGGAAAUUCAUUUAUGGUAAAAAAUUCUGUCAUUUCAGUUAUUUCUCAAGAAGAAAAGAGAGGAUCUGUUGAAUUUCAAGUAUUCAAUUUCACCAAUAAGAUACGGAGACUUACUUCACAUUUAGAAUUGCACAAAAAAGACUAUUUAUCUCAGAGAGGUUUGAAGAAAAUUUUGGGAAAACGUCAACGACUGCUAGCUUAUUUGGCAAAAAAAAAUAGAGUACGUUAUAAAGAAUUAAUUAAUCAGUUGGACAUUCGAGAGACAAAAACUCGUUAAUUUGAUUAAUUUGAAGAGUCAUUUCGUUUUCACUUAUAUGUUUCGAUUAAAUUUUGAUGAACUUCUUUUCACUUUCAGUAAUUCAUGGAAGAAUGAAUCGUUAAAAAACUUAUGACUGCACCAACUACAAGAAAAGACCUCAUGAUAGUCAAUAUGGGGCCUCAGCACCCAUCAAUGCACGGUGUUCUUCGACUCAUCGUUACUCUAGAUGGUGAAGAUGUUGUCGACUGCGAACCAAUAUUGGGUUAUUUACAUAGAGGGAUGGAGAAAAUUGCGGAAAACCGAACAAUUAUACAAUAUUUACCUUAUGUAACACGUUGGGAUUAUUUAGCUACUAUGUUCACAGAAGCAAUAACCAUAAAUGGACCCGAACAAUUAGGCAAUAUUCAAGUACCUAAAAGGGCUAGCUAUAUCAGAGUCAUUAUGUUGGAGUUGAGUCGGAUCGCUUCUCAUUUGUUAUGGCUCGGUCCUUUUAUGGCGGAUAUUGGUGCGCAGACCCCUUUCUUCUAUAUUUUUCGAGAAAGAGAAUUGAUAUAUGACCUAUUCGAAGCUGCUACCGGUAUGCGAAUGAUGCAUAAUUAUUUUCGUAUUGGAGGAGUGGCUGCCGAUCUACCCUAUGGCUGGGUAGAUAAAUGUUUGGAUUUUUGCGAUUAUUUUUUAACAGGGGUUGCUGAGUAUCAAAAACUUAUUACCCGGAAUCCUAUUUUUUUAUAACGAGUUGAAGGCAUAGGCAUUAUUGGGAAAGACGAGGCAUUAAAUUGGGGUUUAUCGGGACCAAUGCUACGAGCUUCCAGAAUAGAAUAGGAUUUUCGUAAAGUUAAUCAUUAUGAGUCUUACGACGAAUUUGAUUGGCAGGUUCAAUGGUAACAAGAAGGGGAUUCAUUAGCUUGUUAUUUAGUACGAAUCGUGCAAUGACAGAAUCCAUAAAGAUUAUUCAAUAGGCUUUGGAAGGAAUUCCAGGAGGGCCUUACAAAAAUUUAGAAAUCUGACGUUUUGACAGAUUAAAAGAUCCUGAAUGGAAUGAUUUUGAAUAUCUAUCUAUUAGUAAAAAACCUUCUCCAACUUUUGAAUUGUCAAAACUAGAACUUUAUCUGAGAUUUGCAGCCCCAAAAGGAGAAUUGGGAAUUUUUAUCAUAGGAGAUCCGAGCGUUUUUCCUUGGAGAUGGAAAAUUCGCCCACUAGGCUUUAGCAAUUUGUAAAUUCUUCCUCAGUUAGUUAAAAGAAUGAAAUUGGUUGAUAUUAUGACAAUACUAGGUAGCAUAGAUAUCAUUAUAGGAGAAGUUGAUCGUUGAAAUGAUAAUUGAUACAACAAAAAUAGAGACUAUCAAUUCUUUUUCCAAAUUGGAAUCCUUAAAAGAAGCCUAUGGGAUCAUAUGGAUGCUUGUCCCUAUUUUGACUCUUCUGUUAGGAAUCAUAAUAGGUGUACUAGUAAUUUUUUGGUUAGAAAGAGAAAUAUAUGUGGGAAUACAACAAUGUAUCAGACCUGAAUAUGCCGGCCUUUUAGGAAUUCUUCAAGCUUUAGCAGAUGGGACAAAACUACUUUUUAAAGAGCACCUUAUUCCGUCUACAGGAGAUACUCAUUUAUUCAGUAUUGGACCAUCCAUAGCAAUAAUAUCUAUCUUUCUAAAUUAUUCAGUAAUUCCAUUUGGCAAUCACCUUGUUAUAGCCGAUCUUAUUAUUGGUGUUUUUUUAUGGAUUGCCAUUUCAAGUAUUGCUCCCAUUGGACUCCUUAUGUCGGGAUAUAGAUCAAAUAAUAAAUAUUCCUUUUUAGGUGGUUUACGGGCAACUGCCCAAUCAAUUAGUUAUGAAAUACCAUUAGCUCUAUAUGUGUUAUCAAUAUCUCUACGUGUGAUUCGGUGAGACCUAAAAUUUCUCCAAAUUCUUUUCUUUCUAGAAACUCUAAAAACAAGGAUAAAAAUAUUUGAUUGACUAUAUAUAUUUUAAUUUUUCUUCAGCAUUUGAGUUGAUGAACUAAACCAGUUAGGUAUAUGAGUGAAAGAAAAUGGCUUCUAAAUUUGUAGUAAAAAGAUUGGGUCUCAUUUCCUAUGUACAAGAAUCAAAUGGUGAAAAAAGUAAACAUACGCAAGAGAGAUUGUUUACCCCAAUAUUGAUGAAUUGUCAUGAUAGCUUGAAGAAGGUUCAAAAAAUCAACUGUAUCAACUUUAUGGGGUUUAUACUAUCUAUUACCAUAGAUGAAUUUCCACAACAAGAGGUUAAAAGCAAAGAUGAGUGGAUGGUUAGGAAGACCAAGAUACACAAAGGAUUAGUAUUGAGAUUACGGAAGUUAUCCAAGAGGAUAUUUCUAUACAUAAAAGGAAUUUGAAUUAGGGCUUUGCGUUCGUAGAAAUGAUCAAGAAGUACUCCCCAUGAUUCUGAUCCAGAGUAUGUUCCUAUCCACUUAGUAAGUAAAUAACUAUCAAGAACGAAGUAAUCUUUUACUUUGGUUAAAGAAAAAAAAUUUUUUUGAGAAAGGAGAAUAGGAAUGAAAUAAAAUAAAUCAAAAUAGAAAGAAAAGAAUCAAAUUUCAAAAGCAAAAAGGGGGGAUGUCUUUUUUUUUUAUUCUUUCAUUCCUAUAAUUAAAUUUUGAUUUCGAUUUAGAGAGAGAAAAUUUUUGUCAUGAUUCAUGAACUAAUGGAAUCUCUAAUUUCUUUCGUAAUUGAAAAUUCGAAGUUGAAAUAUAUAUAGGAUAUUGCUAUAAAGCGCAUUUUAUUUAAUGAUAAGGUUAUUAAUCAACAAAGAAAAAUUAAAAUUCUUAAAAGAUGAGAUCAAUUCAGAAGCACUUAUUUAUUAGUUUUAAAUAUAGCAGACAGAAUUCCAUUGGUCUAAUUUAGGACCUUAGGAUAGAUUUUGACUCUAUCUGACAAACAUAUCAAGAUAAAGAGUAGGAAAGGGCCCUUAGAUUUAUUUGUGACCUCUGAGGAGCCGUAUGAGGUGAAAAUCUCACGUACGGUUCUGUAAUAGCGAUGGGCACAGUGAUGUUAUCAUCGACUAUGAUUAUCUAACAGUUCAAGUACAGUUGAUAUAGUGGAAGCGCAGUCAAAAUAUGGUUUUUGGGGGUGGAAUUUGUGGCGUCAACCCAUCGGGUUUAUCGUUUUUCUAAUUUCUUCUCUAGCCGAGUGUGAAAGAUUACCUUUUGAUUUACCAGAAGCAGAAGAAGAAUUAGUAGCAGGGUAUCAAACCGAAUAUUCAGGUAUCAAAUUUGGUUUAUUUUACAUUGCUUCAUAUCUGAAUCUACUAGUUUCUUCAUUAUUUGUAACAGUUCUUUACUUGGGAGGUUGGAAUCUUUCUAUUCCGUACAUAUUUGUUCCUGAGCUAUUUGGCAUAAAUAAAAGGGGUAAAGUCUUUGGAACACUAAUUGGUAUCUUUAUCACAUUAGCCAAAACUUAUUUGUUUUUGUUCAUUCCUAUUGCAACAAGAUGGACUUUACCGAGGCUGAGAAUGGACCAACUAUUAAAUCUUGGGUGGAAAUUUCUUUUACCUAUUUCUCUAGGUAAUCUAUUAUUGAAACCUCGUCCCAACUUCUUUCAGUGUAAAAGACCAUAAUAUUCUAGAUUCACGACUUGUCUCAAACAAGAGAAAGAAACAAGCAUAAAACCCUUUUUAUAGAUAUUCUAAAUAUGCUCCUAUGAUAACUGAUUUAUAAAUUAUGGUCAACAAACAAUACGAGCCGCCAGAUACAUUGGCCAAGGUUUCAUGAUUACCCUAUCCCAUGCAAAUUUUUAACCUAUAACUAUUCAAUACCCCUACAAAAAAUUGAUCACACCGGAAUGUUUUCGAGGCUGAAUAUACUUUGAAUUUGAUAAAUGCAUUGCUUGUGAAGUAUGUGUGCAUGUAUGUCCUAUAGAUUUACCCGUUGUUGAUUGGAAGUUGGAAACUGAUAUUCGAAAGAAAUGAUUGCUUAAUUACAGUAUUGAUUUUGGAAUCUGUAUAUUUUGUGGUAAUUGCGCUGAGUAUUGCCCAACAAAUUGUUUACCAAUGACCGAAGAAUAUGAACUUUCUACUUAUAAUCGUCAUGAAUUGAAUUAUUAUCAAAUCAUUUUGGGUCGCUUACCAAUGUCAGUACUUGAUGAUUACACAAUUCGAACAAUUUCGAAUUUACUUCAAAUAAACAAUGAAUAAAUCCCUAAUUUAAUUUGAAAAAAAUUACGAAUUACGAAGGCUUUGUUCGUAUCUAAAAGAAUCUACUUAUAAUCGUCAUGAAUUGAAUUAUUAUCAAAUCAUUUUGGGUCGCUUACCAAUGUCAGUACUUGAUGAUUACACAAUUCGAACAAUUUCGAAUUUACUUCAAAUAAACAAUGAAUAAAUCCCUAAUUUAAUUUGAAAAAAAUUACGAAUUACGAAGGCUUUGUUCGUAUCUAAAAGAAUGAGAUUUUUGCUUGGUCAAUUCAAACUAGUGGUUGCUUAAUGAGACUCCUAGCUUAAUUUAGAUUGAAAACAAAACGGAUUUCUAUAUUAUAAUAGUAAUGGUUUUAAAGUAGAUAAAUGAUAUCAAAAAUAGAUAGGUUUAAACUACUCUUUCGACGAAUAAAGAAUUGAUAGUGGUCCAAUAAAAUAAAAACAUCUACGUCAAUUCAUACCCAUUACAAUUUCAUUCAAUUAACAAUUUAAAAGUAUCAUAAAAAAUAGAAAAACUUCUUUUUUCCUGGUCAGGUCAAUAAAGUCAUGAAAUUCUUCGUUUUUGAUUUUUUAUAAAAAAUGGAUUUAUCUGAACCAAUACAUGAUUUUCUUUUAGUCUUUCUAGGAUCGGGUCUUAUAUUAGGGGGUCUAGGAGUGGUAUUACUUCCCAAUCCAAUUUAUUCUGCCUUUUCCUUGGGGUUGGUUCUUUUUUGUACAUCGUUAUUCUAUAUUCUAUCUAACUCCUAUUUUGUAGCUGCUGCGCAGCUACUUAUUUACGUAGGAGCUAUAAAUGUUUUAAUCAUUUUUGCUGUGAUGUUCAUGAAUGGUUCAGAAUAUUACAAAGAUUUUCAUCUUUGGACCGUAGGAGAUGGAAUUACUUCGAUGGUUUGUAUAAGUCUUUUUAUUUCACUAAUUACUACUAUUUCAGAUACGUCAUGGUACGGUAUUAUUUGGACUACAAGAUCAAACCAGAUUAUAGAGCAAGAUUUUCUAAGUAAUAGUCAACAAAUUGGAAUUCAUUUAUCAACAGAUUUUUUUCUUCCAUUUGAACUUAUUUCAAUAAUCCUUUUAGUUGCUUUAAUAGGUGCAAUUGCUGUAGCUCGGCAAUAAAAAAUUUCUAUUAAAACUUGGAAUUCAAAUAAAAUUUUGUUCUGUCUUAUCACAUUCAUUUUCCUUCAAUUAUAUUUGAAUUUCAGCUGUAUAAAUAGAAAGACUUUAGGUCAAUCUAGUACCAAUAUAUUUCGUUGUUCCAUACUUGUUAUAUACUAGUCAAUUAAAUUGGUUGAAUUGUUGUUCAUAUUGAAAGGAGUCGAGAUUGAUAAGGAGUUGUUUAAUGAUUCUCGAGCAUGUACUUGUUUUGAGUGCCUAUUUAUUUUCUAUCGGUAUCUAUGGAUUGAUCACAAGUCGAAAUAUGGUUAGAGCCCUUAUGUGUCUUGAACUUAUAUUGAAUGCGGUUAAUAUAAAUUUUGUAACAUUUUCUGAUUUUUUUGAUAAUCGUCAAUUAAAAGGAGACAUUUUCUCAAUUUUUGUUAUAGCUAUUGCAGCUGCUGAAGCAGCCAUUGGACUGGCUAUUGUUUCAUCAAUUUACCGUAACAGAAAAUCAACUCGUAUCAACCAAUCAAAUUUGUUGAAUAAUUAGUAUUAAUCAUCUAGAUUCUAAUAUUGAUAAAUCGAUUUUAAUUAGCAUGUUUGCUACGUAAGGUAUGAUCUUGUUUGCAAAACAUAAGAAAUCAAAGUAUUUUGGCCUCUCUCAUAUUUCAUAAACCAAUCCCGAAGGGGGUUGAUUAGAAAAUUAUGAUAACUCAUUGAUUCGUCUGGUAUCUAAAUAUAUGAUUCGUUUCUAAGUUUACUAGAUCGAAAAUUUAUAACAUUCAAAAACGUAUAGACCCAAUGUCACAUUCAGUAAAGAUUUAUGAUACGUGUAUAGGAUGUACUCAAUGUGUCCGAGCCUGCCCCACCGAUGUAUUAGAAAUGAUACCUUGGGACGGUUGUAAGGCUAAACAAAUUGCUUCUGCUCCACGAACAGAGGACUGUGUUGGUUGUAAGAGAUGUGAAUCCGCUUGUCCAACAGAUUUCUUGAGUGUCCGAGUUUAUUUAUGGCAUGAAACAACUCGCAGUAUGGGUCUAGCUUAUUGAUACUUUCGAGAAAACUCUACUCGAAUCCAUUUAAUUUUUUUUACCGACAAACCUGUGCUCGAAAAUAAAAAUACUUUGAGCACGGGUUUUUUUUGGUCCAAGUGUAUCUUGUCUUUACUAUGAACUAUUUUUCUUGGUUA
rnacentral:lncRNA from 1 species